CUUUGUCUUUUUACAAUUAGUUCUGCUCGAGAGCUCUGAAACAAAGAGAAAUUUCGAUUCGGUCGAAAAAUUUCGCCUAGUGGAAAACCGCCUUUAAGGCCGGAUUCCACGAGGCGGAAUUUUUCGACCGAAACGAAAUUUCUCUUUGUCUUUUUACAAUUAGUUCUGCUCGAGAGCUCUGAAACAAAGAGAAAUUUCGAUUCGGUCGAAAAAUUUCGCCUAGUGGAAAACCGCCUUUAAG